AUUAGUCAAAUCCAUGUAAUGCCCUCCCCCCACCCCCCAACCCUAGCAGGUUUGAAGCUGCCAGGUCAAAGGCCGUAUAACAUAAUUAUAAUGAGCUUAGAGAACUUCGGUACAUUGGCAGAGAGUUUAUUCCAUACAACAUUUAUGUAACACAGCGAUAAGGUAAUCAUUGAAAGAAGUGACGUUCUAAGUACAUUGAAUGGAAACAUCUUUGCUGCAGUUAUAUUCACAAUGGAAGUAACCAGAAAAACAACACAGUAUUUGGGGGGGGGGG